rnacentral:rRNA from 1 species
AAUUUUGCGCAAUGGGCGAAAGCCUGACGCAGCAACGCCGCGUGAAUGUUAAGCCCCUCGGGGUGUAAAGUUCUGUCAGUGGGGACGAAACUUGACGGUACCCACAGAGGAAGCACCGGCUAACUCCGUGCCAGCAGCCGCGGUAAUACGGAGGGUGCAAGCGUUGUCCGGAAUCAUUGGGCGUAAAGAGUUCGUAGGUGGCAUGUUAAGUCUGGUGUUAAAUCCCGAAGCUCAACUUCGGUCCUGCACUGGAUACUGGCAAGCUAGAAUGCGGUAGAGGUAAGGGGAAUUCCUGGUGUAGCGGUGAAAUGCGUAGAUAUCAGGAGGAACAUCGGCGGCGAAAGCGCCUUACCGGGCCGUAAUUGACACUGAGGAACGAAAGCCGGGGUAGCAAAUGGG